rnacentral:misc_RNA from 1 species
GAUGAAGAACGCAGCGAAAUGCGAUAAGUAAUGUGAAUUGCAGAAUUCAGUGAAUCAUCGAAUCUUUGAACGCACAUUGCGCCCGCCAGUAUUCUGGCGGGCAUGCCUGUCCGAGCGUCAUUUCAACCCUCGAACCCCUCCGGGGGGUCGGCGUUGGGGAUCGGCCCUCCCUUAGCGGGUGGCCGUCUCCGAAAUACAGUGGCGGUCUCGCCGCAGCCUCUCCUGCGCAGUAGUUUGCACACUCGCAUCGGGAGCGCGGCGCGUCCACAGCCGUUAAACACCCAACUUCUGAAAUGUUGACCUCGGAUCAGGUAGGAAUACCCGCUGAACUUAAGCAUAUCAAAAGCGGAGGA